GUGAAAGGUAGUUGUUGGGGUGGGGGGUGGGGAGGGGGAGUUUGCACGCAGAGCCAGGCUAACAACUAGGCGGACCGGUGGGCGUGGGGGGGGCGCGGGCGCAGGGUGAGAGGAGCAGAGGAUCCGCGGCACAGAAACUUGUAGAGUUUUUAAACGUCUCCCCGGUUUCUCUGCUCCCAUCCCCCCACUCCCCUCCCCACCCCCGGGCCUUAAAUUUAUCCAGGACAGGUUGCGUUGACCCUCCGGACUUCGAUCGAGCUUUCUUGCAGCUUCCGGCAAAAAAGCCUUUUCUUUUAAAGAGAGGGGCGAGGGGUGAGAAGGGAUGAGUGCCCCCCCCCCCCCCCGGUUCCUUUUACAGGCAGAAGGCGACGAUGGGUGUGUAUUUCUGGCUGCAGGGCAGGGUGUCUCUUUUCGAAGCCGUGUUUUUUUUUUUUUUUAAGUGACACCGGCUUGAUGUUGAUUUUUUAAUUCCUCCCCCCCCUCCCCCCCCGAGUUCCACGCAGCACGCAUACGCGCGGCCAACACUCACACGCGACCCCGCGCGCGCGCGCAUAAACACACACACACACACACGCACGCAAGUAGACCCAGAGUUGGAAGGGGCCAAACAAAACUUUGCGCCCGAUUCUUGGACCCCAAGCGCGGAUACCUGCUGGCGACGGCAGAGAACUGGUUUUGGAUCUAUCUUGUUGGUGCCUUGAACUGAUAUUGUGGAUGCAGUGAUCAAUAUGGGAUGUAUUUCCUGAUGCUUCAGCUCUCUUCACCUGAGACACACUUGGAAUACUGCAUCCAGUUUUGGUCGCCACAAUGUAAAAAAGAUGUUGGAUUCUAGAAAGACUGCAGAGAAGAACAAUGAAGAUGAUUAGGGGAUUGGAGGCUAAAACAUAAUGAAUGGCUGCUGGAAAUGGGAAUCCCUCAAAGUGGUUUUUGAUGGAAGUAGUCAGAGAUGAACACACCUACAUUCUGGAAGCAGGACAAAGAAGAACAGCUGAAAAACUUCUCAAGAUGAUGGUGGAAGACUGGCCAUCUCCAUAAAUAAAUAAAUAAAAGGCACCUGUGAAUGUCAUUACUAAAGCAUGAAAUGCCACAUGCGUUCCAGUCAGAAAGGCUCAAGAAGGGCAGAAAUACAAAAAACCCAACAACUUCAUCACUUGUGCAACGAAGACCGGGGCAAACACAUUCCUAGAUCUGCGAUUUAUGGAAUGCAGAUACUGGAAAGGAAAAAAAAAAGAAAAGAAAAAGAGUAAUCAUGGGGAGAAUUAAGAUAUCUCUGCAUCUAUUAAUAAGAGCCGAUUUGCUUAGAUGUGAGUUUGACUCACCAUAGGGAACUAGAGAACUGGCUAAGACAGGGGUCGGCAACCUUAAACACUCAAAGAGCCACAAAGGUCCUAACCAGAAGCCCCUUGUUCAAUUCUGGAGCCAACUGGAAGUCUGGUUCCCCCAUCAUUGAGUCUCCUCCUUGCAUUGCAUCCUUUUUCCUCUACUAGUCCUAACCAAAAACCCUAUCAAUUGUGGAGCUGACUGGAAAACACGCCCCUUGCCAUAGAGUCUCCUCCUGGCAUGCCCUGCUUAUCCCCCAGCCCCAAACUGGAAGCUCCUCUCAGAAUUGUGGUGCUGACCAGCGACAGGGAGUCACAGCAGAGGGAUGAAAGAGCCACAUGCGGCUCCAGAGCCGCAGGUUGCUGACCCCUGGGCUAAGAUAAUGUUCUUUGGGAAAAGAAUAAAAAUUCACCAAGACCAGCCUUCAGCGUCUAACCCAGAUGUGUUUCAGAAGACUAUUGGUGGAAAUGACAGCUUACAUGUUGACUUGUCUAUCAGCACAGUAGAUAUCAAACGGUAUAUAAUUUCUAGCUCUGAAGGUUCUAUUUAACUGACAUGGCCAUUAGUGGUUAAUAUGCCUAAUCUUUGUUAAUUUAUUUAAAUAUCCUAAAGAAAUGACAAUUAGCCAGAAGAAAGAAUCAUCUUCUUUACCCUGUCUCUACCGCCAAUUAAUUUUAACUCCAAAAUCCAGAUCAGGAGUGGGCAAGCUGUAUGCAUGAGAUGCUUUUGACUUCUCUAGAUACUUCGUUGGAAUUUUGGGACUUCUUUUGCCUCGCUGAAUCACAAAAGAAAUCUGCAGAACAGAUGCGAUAAUCAGAUCAGGCCUUAUCUGAAUAAAUUGAUUCACAACCAUUUGUGGGUGCCUAUGUUUAAAAAAGUGCUAUUGAAAUCAGCCAAAGGAUUUGAAGGCUCCUUGAUCUAACUCAGCAAGUCAACUCAAUCAGCGAGCAAUUUUUUUCUAACAUCUUCCAUGGCUUUCCUAGCCAUUAGUGGGAGAUAUGCAUGGUAACUGUAGUGGGAAUUAAAAUAUUAUAUUAUAGAAUAAUAUUAUAACUUAAGUCAUCUGCGGUGAUCCCAGUAGCUAUCUACACUUUGGGUUGCCAUAUCUAAAAUUUUUGGACGGCAUUUAGAAAACCUUUGCAUCGACAAAAUUGCCAUCUGUCAAUUACAAAAGGCUUGGAUCUGCAAAUAUACAAUGUCGAUACAAUACAACAUCCUAGGUUCAUUGGAAGAAUUCAACAUGAUUGAAAACUAAUAUCAGCUAAAGAACUGGUAGUGUGAUUUCACAUUGUUGUGGGUAAUAAUAAUAAUAACUGACCAACCUAUUGGAGCACCACUUGAACACCAUCAGCAUUGACAAAAUCACCAUCAGUCAAUUUCAAAGUGCAGAACAGCUUUCAAGCUUGGAACAGUUUACAUCCUGCAACAAAACCUUUAACACCAUCAAACAACCAUAGCUGCCUCUCCCAGGUCCUUGGACCACAAGAUCUGAUGGCCUCUUUGCCUGGAAACAAGUUAUGAAAAUCAAUGUUUCCCUUUGAAAAUGGUUUCUCAUUCUAGCGUUAGUGGACAAAUGGUUUCUCAGACUAGCGUAUAUGGACAUGAUCAUCUUGGCCAAGUAUUUAUUUAUUAAAUUUAUACUUAAAGCAUUCCCUUUUAUACUUUUCACCCCAACAUUUGAAGGGGGUAGGUGGGACUAAGGCAGAAAGAUGAGGCUAAAGUCAACCUGUAAGCUUCCAAAAUGAGGGUGGAUUAGAACCCAAGUCUCCCAUUUCUGUUCAAGCACCUUUUCAACUACUCUCCAUUAACUAUUGGGCUGAGAAGAAGGGACUAGCCCCUGAGUCAUCUAGGACAUCUGGGCCAAAGGAGGACUUAGAACCCGAGUCUUCUUUUGCCUAGUACAAUAUCUUCACCAUUAUGCCAUGCUGGAUCUCCAGUAUGACCUUCUUCGGAUGUCUACAGUGGUGGCCAAAAUUGUGGAAACCUUUUGGGAAAAGUGUAUUUUCUAAAAGUAGCUAAUAACACCACUUUUUUAUGGAGUAGUACCAUCAAAUUAUAUAUCAAUGGAAAGAUAAUUUAAGCAAGAAUGUAAUGCAGUAACUUUUAUGAAGGAUUUGCUAUUAGAAUAGCAGUUACAGUAUAAAGAAGAAAAGUGAAACAGAUAGAAAAAAUGAGAUAUACAAAAAUGAUCACUGUAGAAAAAAACGAGAUAUACAAAAAUGAUCACCAUGUCAGUUAAUCCUUAGUUGGGUAACCUUUAGCAUGAAUUAGGGCCUUACAAUGUCUUCCCAUAGAGUGAACCAAGUCAUUUAGUUCUGCAGCUGUUAUCAUAUGAAACCAAGAGUGAAUGAUUGCUUCUAUUAACUGGGUUUUAUUGCUAGGUCGCUUCUGCCUAACAAGUUUCUUUAGUCGGCUCCAUAGAUUUUCAGUUGGGUUAAAGUCUGGGCUAUUCCCAGGCCAUUCCAGCAGUGGAAUAGGAUUAUCUUGAAACUCCAAACAAAUGAACAAAAAAAUUGUGUUAUUAGCCAUCAAACCUCAAAAAGACACUUUUCCCAUAAGUUUCCACUAUUUUGGCCACUACCGUAUAGACUACAUUAGUCUUCUCCAAAUUCUCCAACCUCCCAAUUGUAUAUCUAGAAGGCAGCAGAUUGGGAAAACCUGGUCAAGGAGCUGCUAUUCAAUAGAAGAGUACAUAUUUCUUAUGCUCCAAGUUCCAGAUUCAAUCUUCAGAAUCUCCAGUUAGUGCAUGAAAAAGGUUGUGGACUACAAGUUUCAAUAGUAAAGUACUGAAUAUUUUCUAGCAAUGGAAUCACACCAGAUACGUGGUGGGGCAGGUUCUUCAGGUUAUGUUAAGGUGUUCCUUCGUUAUUUACCCGUGCUUCGCUUAUUUUACUGUUUCUAUUACAAUUUUCAUUUGUUUCUCAUGUCAACAUGGCAUGUUUUCAGCUCUUAUAUUUAAAGGGACCCUGAAGGCUGCGGAACAUGAGUUUAGAAACUACAUGACUGCAGAUUUCCAGUCCUUGUGGUAGAAGCAUGGCCAGUCCAUACCUUAACUAGAUAAAUUGAAUGGCAUAGUUGAAUAGAGGCCAGUUUCUCAUGCCCACAGAGUUAUUCUUCAGAUAUCCUGGUGUUUUUCAGAUGUUUGGAUUAGUUACAGUCCUUCCCCAUUGUUUGCAAUGGCUGCAAGUUGAAAUCUACAGCAUCUGGAGGACACCAGGUGGCCUACCCUUGACUGGUUCUAAACUUUCUUUAAAAUGCUAAAUUGGUGAAUGUAUUCAUAUUGAAUCAAGAUGUUGGGGUCCAACGUUCAAAACAAACAACUAAGUGCUUCAGGGACCAGGUCUAGCGAAUGCACUGAAAAUUGGCUAGUAUUUCCCAAGACAUCUGGCUGGUUUAAUGCCCUUAAUAGCUUGACAUUUGGCCCUGAAUUUCUUCAGCUAAAUGUAUCCAUCUGUACCUGGUUUGUUUUUCUUUUUUUAUGGAGGAUCCUUCCAAACUAUACCACAUAGGAGGACCUACAGUCAGAAGUCAAUCCUCACUGUUUUUGUGUGAUGGAAUGAACUCGCUGAUAAGAUGUUUGCGUCCCCUUACAAGGGAACCCUAAGUCAUUUUAGGUAUUUAUCAAAUUUGCCAACUGCCCAUCUUGCCUCACAGGAUCGUCCCUUGAUAGGGCCAAGGAUUACAUUCUGGAACAGGGGUCUCCAACUUUGGCAACUUUAAGACUUGGGGACUUCAACUCCCAGAAGCCCUCAGCCAGCAAAGCAAAGCUGGCUGAGGAAUUCUGGGAGUUGAAGUCCCCAAGUCUUAAAGUUGCCAAAGUUGGAGACCUCUGUUCUGGAAGAGGAAUAACAAUGCUUCAUUCAGAAUGUUGUCUUCCAAACUAUAGCAAGAAUCUGGUUCAGAAGCACAACCUGAGACAGCUGUGAACCAUGAGACACAACCCAUAAACUCCAUUUGGCUAGUAUAAUGCAUCAAUCUACAUUUAUCACAAUCCUGACGAGAUUUAUAUGCUCUAAUGGUUCCACAAUAAGAAAAAGCUGGGAUCUUAUUUGUCCUUUCCCGUCCCAAGGAAACGCCCCCCCCCCAUAUAUUUGUCAGGCAUUGAUGGGUUUUGCCUGGUUUUAAUCAGAAUCUGAGGGUAGGGGAGGAAAAGUGUACUAUUAAAGAAUCAAAAUAAUUUCAGAAGCAAUCAAUGGAUCAGAUGAUUGAUUCAGUGUGUAAAUCAGCCAUAAUGCAAAACAGGUUUCUUCAAAUGAGGACUACUGAGAUGCAAAGCUAGGCAGCUACGCCGAACCACCAGUUGAAAAUGUCAGAACAAUACGAUUAACUCAGAAUGGUAGUGGAAUAAUGGAAGAGUAUUUAAUAGUAUUUCCUUCUAUCACACACACCUCCCAACGAGGUGAAUUCAUAGCAGAAUUCACUGGCAUGAAAUCAUGUUUUAUCAUUUAGUGUGUGCUGAAAGCCAUCAAAGAUAAAUCGUGAUUGACUAAAAGUAGGCCUUCGUAUAUAUGCAAACUCAACUGUUGUAUAUGUUUUGGGGCAUCUCAGGUUAGAUUUAUAGAACAGGAGCCAAUAUCUCUAAAAUUUGCUAUUUUACAGGCCAGCAUUCAUUUACUUUCUGUGUACUUCACUCUCCGGAUGCAACUUCACUUCUCCAGAUAUCGUUGGACUAUUUAUUUUAGCAUCAUAAAUCACCUCAGCUCCAGAUCAUGGUCUCUGCCAUCCAAAAAAAAGCACCUGGGUUUCAUUGAUAUGAGAAAGAUUCAAAGUCUGUCACAUGGUCUGCAAGGUUAGAUAUUCCUCUGGGUUGUCUUCAGGUAUAAGGAGAUUUUUUUUUUAUUGUUCUUGGUAAGUUCCUCAAAGUGAGACAUCAGGAUGGAAUGCCAGUGCUGAAGAAUUUUGGACAGUGAUGUCACAUAAAAUCCACCAGUAAUAAUUCUGUCAGAACUGAAGAAACUUCUCGGAUGAGAAGCAAAACCUUAACAAAGAAAAUAAAAACCCCAAGAAAGUCCAGUUGCCUUUUGUAAAAACAACAACACAUCUUUGGAACAACCAUGACUGGAUGAUUGAGAAUCUCCAUAGACAAUUUUAUCACAACUGAGAAUAAGAUAAAUCCACGAUAACACUUCCAAGAAUUAAAAAGAAUUUCUCCGGCAUUCUGAGAAGAUGACUGAAAAAACAGAAGCUGUGUUUUUAAGACACAUAUAUAUAUAUGGAAAGAAACAAAAGGACAGGAACGGUAGGCACAUUUGUGCUCUUAUGCACGCCCCUUAGAGUCCUCUUAGGAAUGUGGUGAGGUCAACAGUGGAUAGAUUUUGUUUAAAGCUUUUGGGGUUAUGAGAAGAGACCACAGAGUCAGGUAAUGCAUUCCAAGCAUAGAUAAACAAUACAAGUUUCCAUUCUGAUCUUAAAGUAGGAUACCUGAAGUGCUACUCAGACUCAUGUAUCUAAGUGUGAAAGUAAAAUCUUGACUUUAUGGCAGGGGUGAAAUCCAGCAGGUUCUGACAGGUUCUGGAGAACCGGUAGCGGAAAUUUUGAGCAGUUCGGAGAACUGGCAAAUACCACCUCUGGUGCUGGCCCCAGAGUGGGAUGGGAAUGGAGAUUUUGCAAUAUCCUUCCUCUAGGAGUGGGGAGGGAAUGGAGAUUUUGCAAUAUCCUUCCUCUAGGAGUGGGGAGGGAAUGGGGAUUUUGCAGUAUCCUUCCCCUGCCACGCCCACCAAGCCACGCCCACCAAGCCACACUAUGCCCACAGACCCAGUAGUAAAAAAAUUUGGAUUUCACCACUGCUUUAAAGUCUUUUCCCCAGUUUGGAAACCUGAGUUAUCCAGUUUUUGGUUGCCUGAAGAAAUUAUAACCAUCUUCAGGCAAAGGACAGUAUUUUGUGUUCAAAUCUCCAUUAACUAGGGUAGUGAAGAAGUGAUGAUGUUCUUCACUCCAGAAUCAAGGUGCCGAGACUUUUAAAGGGUUUAUUUAUUUAGUAAAUGUCUUUGUUUGUGGAAAUAUAUAGGGUCUUUUUUGAACCAAGCUCAAAGAACUGUUGAUAGAUAGCUUGGACCAUACAAACCUCUGAGAAAGCUAUGACAUAGAGAGCCACAAUCAUACAUAUUGCUGACCCUUGUUACUACAAUUACAGAUUGCGCAGCAUACUAAGACAUAACCGGGGACCCAUAUCUUCUAAAUCAAAACCAAUGUUUUAUUCAUUUAUUCCAUUUCUGUUAUGCCUCUCUUUCAGGAGCUCAACAUGGUGUAUACUGUAUUCCUUUCUCUUCUAUUAUGCUGAGAAUAAUAAAACUUGUGAACAAAGCUGGCUUGAAAGCUAGUGAGAUGCCUCCAGAAAUUCAGCAGGCUUCCUUGGUGAGGGGAUUGAAUCCUCAAGUAGUAGCCAUGUGUCUAUGUUGAAGCAGUUUUAUAUAUGAAAUGAAUGCUGCGUUCACAUUAUGUGCAUUACUUAUAAUACAACUCAUUUUCUUGUCCAUCAUUCAGUUUCAGCAGGUUAGUAUAAGAUGUCCCAAGAAAAGCUCAAGAAUGACUCUUUGCAUCUCAGGUGAAAAUGAACAUGAGCUUCUCAUGCUUCAUUUUAUCAUCCAGAUCUUAGAUGGUCUUAUAUUAUCAACAGAGAUGACAAAAGCUAUCAUACUAUUUACACUGUGGAUACCUGCUAGGAUUCUAUGGAAGACCUAGCCCAUGGAUCUAUACGGUACAUGACAUUAACAAGCAGAGUAAUUAAGAAGGCUGGUACCUGUAGUUGGCUUUUUCCAAGUUUGGGAUGGGGGCAGUAGAAAUCUACCUGAAAAUAAGGUACAGCUCAUCUGGUGAUAUGGUCCAAAUUGUAUUGAAGUUUUUUCUGGGGUUCACUUGAUCAGAAGACCUGUUAGUUGUUUAUUUUUCAGUCUUUUAAUUGACCGAAUAUUCUGAAAUAAAAUUGCACAUUUCUAAAACCUUUGUGUGAGAUAUCUUUUACGGGGGCUUUGAUGGCCAUUUAAAAAGAACAAUCCCAUACGUCCAUAUCUACUAACCACUUUCAGUAAGUGCUUAGCAGAUAUAAAGGUAAAGAAAUACACUGAGAAAAAAAAAUACUUCCAAAGAAAGUUGGUUUACAGGUAGUCCUUGACUUAUGACCUUAUUUGGGGCCAGAAUGUUUAUUCCUAAGCAAGGCAGUUGUUAAAUGAAUUAUGCCUCCUCCUCCCCACUGUGGUUGUUAUUGAAUCACUGCAGUUAAAUGCAUUAUGCAAUUGUAAAACCCAUCUGGAUUUUCCAUUGACUUUGCUGGUUGGAAGCUGAGUGGCAAUUACAUGACCCUGGCAUGCUGUAUCCAUUGUAAAUACAUGCUGGUCGCUACAUGCCCAAAUUUUGAUCACAUGACCUUAGGAAUUCUGCAACAGUUGUAAGUAUGAGGACCAGUUUUAAGUCAGCGCCCUUGUAACUUCAAAUGGUUACUGAAUCAAUGUUUGUCAUUUGACAAACAUUGAUUCAUAAGGUUCUACAUUUAGGCAAAAAAAAAAAAAAGCACAGGUACCGUAUAUGUGACACCUUGCUCAAUAGUAGUAACUGUGAGAGGGAUCUUGGAGUCCUAGUGGACAACCAUUUAGAUAUGAGCCAGCAGUGUGCAGCAGCUGCCAAAGAAGCCAACAUUUGAGCUGCAUAAACAGAGGGAUAGAAUCAAGAUCACGUGAAGUGUUAAUACCACUUUAUAAUGCCUUGGUAAGGCCACACUUGGAAUACUGCAUCCAGUUUUGGUCGCCACGAUGUAAAAAAGAUGUUGAGACUCUAGAAAGAGUGCAGAGAAGAGCAACAAAGAUGAUUAGGGGACUGGAG